rnacentral:tRNA from 6 species
GGUCCCGUAGCUCAGUUGGAUAGAGCGGCGGUUUCCUAAACCGCAGGCCGCUGGUUCGAUUCCAGCCGGGGCCA